AUGCAAGUCGAACGAUAGAUAGAAGCUUGCUUUUAUCGAAAGUGGCGCACGGGUGCGUAACGCGUAUGCAACCUACCUUAAUCAGGGGGAUAGCCCGAAGAAAUUCGGAUUAACACCGCAUAACAUUAUUGAAUGGCAUCAUUUAAUAAUCAAAUAUUUAUAGGAUUAAGAUGGGCAUGCGUGACAUUAGUUAGUUGGUAAGGUAACGGCUUACCAAGACUACGAUGUCUAGGGGAUCUGAGAGGAUGACCCCCCACACUGGUACUGAGACACGGACCAGACUCCUACGGGAGGCAGCAGUAAGGAAUAUUGGUCAAUGGGCGGAAGCCUGAACCAGCCAUGCCGCGUGCAGGAAGACGGCCCUACGGGUUGUAAACUGCUUUUAUUCGGGAAUAAACCUUUCUACGUGUAGAGAGCUGAAUGUAUCGAAGGAAUAAGGAUCGGCUAACUCCGUGCCAGCAGCCGCGGUAAUACGGAGGAUCCAAGCGUUAUCCGGAUUUAUUGGGUUUAAAGGGUGCGUAGGCGGCCUAUUAAGUCAGGGGUGAAAGACGGUAGCUCAACUAUCGCAGUGCCUUUGAUACUGAUAGGCUUGAAUACACUAGAGGUAGGCGGAAUGUGACAAGUAGCGGUGAAAUGCAUAGAUAUGUCACAGAACACCAAUUGCGAAGGCAGCUUACUAUGGUGUCAUUGACGCUGAGGCACGAAAGCGUGGGGAUCAAACAGGAUUAGAUACCCUGGUAGUCCACGCCCUAAACGAUGAAUACUCGAUGUUAGCGAUAUACAGUUAGCGUCUAAGCGAAAGCGUUAAGUAUUCCACCUGGGGAGUACGCCCGCAAGGGUGAAACUCAAAGGAAUUGACGGGGGCCCGCACAAGCGGAGGAGCAUGUGGUUUAAUUCGAUGAUACGCGAGGAACCUUACCCGGGCUUGAAAGUUAGUGAAUCAUUUAGAGAUAGAUGAGUCCGCAAGGACACGAAACUAGGUGCUGCAUGGCUGUCGUCAG
rnacentral:rRNA from 1 species